rnacentral:rRNA from 1 species
CCUACGGGUGGCAGCAGUGAGGAAUAUUGGUCAAUGGACGGGAGUCUGAACCAGCCAUGCCGCGUGAAGGAAGACGGUACUGCGUGUUGUAAACUUCUUUUGUCCGGGGGCAAACGCAGAGACUCGUAUCUGUCUGAGAGUACCGUACGAAUAAGCAUCGGCUAACUCCGUGCCAGCAGCCGCGGUAAUACGGAGGAUGCGAGCGUUAUCCGGAUUUAUUGGGUUUAAAGGGUGCGUAGGCGGUCGGAUAAGUUAGCGGUGAAAUCCCGAGGCUCAACGCCGGAAGGGCCGUUGAAACUGGUGGGCUAGAGAGUAGUUGAGGUAGGCGGAAUGUAUGGUGUAGCGGUGAAAUGCUUAGAGAUCGUACAGAACCCCGAUUGCGAAGGCAGCUUACCA